AGAAGCACAGCAUCUGUGAAGCUUUCGGAAAUUAUCCCUCUGGCUCCAGCCCUUUCUAGAGAUCUCCACGCACAUCUCUGCAUGAAGGUUUCAGAGUCACUGGAUUUCCCAGGGCCUUCUCUUUGCUAGGAAUGUCUGAGACGCGCUCUGCAAGAUGAGUUGGCAGCAUCUCUGUGCCUCUGGUUUUGCCAGGCUCCACCAACAUCCCGCUAAGAACUCUUCACCCUCAAGUGCACUGAGGGGAACCCCAGUGAAGGCCAAUGAGGGAAACCACACAUCACUGAGGGCCGACGGAGGCCCCCAAAGCUCAGAUCGCUGUGCUCGCCAGUAGGUCCCCAGACACCCUUAACACAGCUAUCUGCAGGAUUGAAUGAUUGCUGGGACCACACAAUUUACACUUGGCUCUCGUGGUCCGGAGGGGAGGACUGCGCCAGCAUGAGAAGACCAGAGAGCAAGUAAAUGGAAAUUUGGCGAGAUCCUGUGGCUGCUGUUGGUGGCUGCAGCCAGACAGGAAAACUGAGAUGGUGUGAGCAGAAAGGGCUGGAAGGAGUUGGCUUUUUCCAAGAAAUUACAGCGGAAUCUUCUUCCAAGAGGCUGGGGGCCUCUGCAGACAUGAUCUCAUUACUUACCCCCCAAAUCCCCCAGCUUCCCUACGGA
rnacentral:lncRNA from 1 species